rnacentral:lncRNA from 1 species
GGAGAAGGCGGCGGGCGCGGAGCUCCGGCAGGGCGCGCUGGUGCCGCUCACCGCCAUCUGCCUGGUGAAUCUCUUCCUAACUGGGAAAAUAGAAAGUGCUGUUACCUCGUUAGUUGCAGGUUUUCCCUGGAAAAUUUUGAGAUACUUCAGCUAUGAAACAUUCUGGGCUUGUAAUCUUGGGUUAUUCUGUCUUCUGGAAAUGCAGUUUGGAUGGUGGAAAGUAAAUAUAGAGGAUUAUUGCAGUGGUGUAAGUCACCAGCACCCCUGGUUUUUCCUGAGUUUUGCAGGGAGGGCAGAGGAGACUAGUACA